GACGAACGCUGGCGGCGUGCCUAAUACAUGCAAGUUGAGCGCUGAAGGUUGGUACUUGUACCCACUGGAUGAGCAGCGAACGGGUGAGUAACGCGUGGGGAAUCUGCCUUUGAGCGGGGGACAACAUUUGGAAACGAAUGCUAAUACCGCAUAAAAACUUUAAACACAAGUUUUAAGUUUGAAAGAUGCAAUUGCAUCACUCAAAGAUGAUCCCGCGUUGUAUUAGCUAGUUGGUGAGGUAAAGGCUCACCAAGGCGAUGAUACAUAGCCGACCUGAGAGGGUGAUCGGCCACAGUGGGACUGAGACACGGCCCAAACGCCUACGGGAGGCAGCAGUAGGGAAUCUUCGGCAAGGGACGAAAGUCUGACCGAGCAACGCCGCGGGAGUGAAGAAGGGUGUCGGAUCGUAAAACUCUGUUGGUAGAGAAGAACGUUAGUGAGAGUGGAAAGCUCAUCAAGUGACGGUAACUACCCAGAAAGGGACGGCUAACUACGUG
rnacentral:rRNA from 1 species